UAAGGAGAAGUCUGAAUUUGUUGUGUUAUCUGCUCUGGCUCUGUCAUGUCUCUCUGUAAUUCUCUGUGGAUUGGGUAUAUACAAGGGUUGUGGCAAAAGGCUGUGCACUGUUGCAGGGUCCAGAAAUGAUAUAGAGGAUAAUGAGGCGGGGACUAUAGACAACACAAACCAG